UGAGGAAUAUUGGUCAAUGGGCGGGAGCCUGAACCAGCCAAGUAGCGUGCAGGAUGACGGCCCUAUGGGUUGUAAACUGCUUUUAUGUGGGGAUAAAGUGCGUGACGUGUCAUGCAUUGCAGGUACCACAUGAAUAAGGACCGGCUAAUUCCGUGCCAGCAGCCGCGGUAAUACGGAAGGUCCGGGCGUUAUCCGGAUUUAUUGGGUUUAAAGGGAGCGUAGGCUGUCUAUUAAGCGUGUUGUGAAAUUUACCGGCUCAACCGGUGGCUUGCAGCGCGAACUGGUCGACUUGAGUAUGCAGGAAGUAGGCGGAAUUCAUGGUGUAGCGGUGAAAUGCUUAGAUAUCAUGACGAACUCCGAUUGCGCAGGCAGCUUACUGUAGCAUAACUGACGCUGAUGCUCGAAAGUGCGGGUAUCAAACAGG
rnacentral:rRNA from 1 species